GUAUCAUGGCUCAGAUUGAACGCUGGCGGCAGGCCUAACACAUGCAAGUCGAACGGUAACAGGAAGAAGCUUGCUUCUUUGCUGACGAGUGGCGGACGGGUGAGUAAUGUCUGGGAAACUGCCUGAUGGAGGGGGAGUAACUACUGGAAACGGUAGCUAAUACCGCAUAACGUCGCAAGACCAAAGAGGGGGACCUGGCGUCUGCAUCGAUGUGCCACGAUAGGGAGUUAGC
rnacentral:rRNA from 1 species